rnacentral:ncRNA from 1 species
CAUAGCCGAUAACUCCGAGCCUGCUCUGCUAAGUGUAUGGAUGUGAAUGUUCCAUUCUGCUGCAUAGGUUGUUCAGGCCAGUGACUGGUUCACUCAGGGUCGUUUUAGAAAUGACGCGGCCUCCCGAUGUUUGGAAAGGUGUUUUGUGGCACAACAA